CGUCGAAAUUAUAACCGGACGCCAACGUAACUGCUGUGAUGUCCGUUUACCGGACUUGGAGCGCCGAAAACGUUGGUGAAUUUGCUAUCUAUACAUCCAGUGCAGUGCAACGAACGCAUAUAAAUGUUCGGAAAAUAAGAAGAUUACGAAAAAGCUCGUAAAAAUACAUAAAUAAAUGUCGUGUACACGCGUUUAUCACCGGGAACGAAAGAAAUUAAAGGAAAAUAUUUUUGCCGAUAAAAUACCGUUCUGGGGAGUGGUAUACAGGGAGACGACACAGUAAUAUUUCGUAAUGUUUUUCUGAUGUCAAAAAAAUGCUUAUAGUACGCACAUCCAUAUUUGGGCAGUGGCGGAUAGGCCCACCGGAAAUUUGGGAUUUUCUCUUUAGGCGGCCCUAUCCUGUAUUGGUGUAUAGGGACCAUAGGCGCAUUUAUCAAGUAUCGAAUUUAAUUGAAGAUGUAUUUGCGUGA